CUGUACAGUGGCAUGACCAUAGUUCACUGCAGCCUCAAACUCCUGAGCUUCAGCGAUCCUCCCCCCUCAGCCUCCCAAGUAGUCCCAUAGCCCCAGCCCCUGAGCUGGGACUACAGGGAGAAGUCUCGGCGGGAGAUUAAGUCUUGAGAUUCAUCAGACCGGAGAUGGUCUGUGAAGCCGCAGAUCAGGAUGACAGCCACUAUGGGAAUGAACGAAGAUGAAGACCGGAGACCCCAAGACAGACCUCCGGGGCAGCCAUCACUGAGAGAGGGCGGAGGAGGAGGGGGAAGUGAAGGCUCCUGAGGAGAACGCCAUGUGGAGGAGGGAAACCAGGGGAAGGUGGAGUCGGAGACAUUGGAAGAACAGAUGGGCACACCAACGCCUGGAGAUGUUGGAUGCAGAAGGUGAAAUGUCAGAAGCUGGAGUCCUGCAUCUCAGCUGGAGGGUGAGGGCUGAUAAUUUAUCAGUUGCCAUUGAUCAAAGUUCACAAGGCAAAUCUUCAUAAACUUCUAAAGCUGCCUACAGUUUCCCGUAAACAAAUCUCUUUAAAUUUACAAAAGCAAUGCUUGCUGAUUGUAAAAAACACACAGUGCCAAAGCAUACAAAGGAAGAAGACCCGCUUGCAAUUUGCUACCUACAUCCCACUCUUGGGGCCAACAACUAUUGGAAGUGUGGUGAGUGAUUGACUUACAUCCUUCUAGAUCUUAUCUACAUAUUUGCAAAGAAAAAAUAUACAUAUAUAAAAUAAAAUA
rnacentral:antisense_RNA from 1 species